GCAAGUCGAACGAGAAAGUGGGGGCAACUCCAUGAGUAAAGUGGCAGACGGGUGAGUAACACGUGAACAACCUACCCUUGAGUGUGGAAUAACACCGCGAAAGCGGUGCUAAUACCGCAUAACAUCUUCGGGUCGCAUGAUCUGGAGAUCAAAAGCGCAAGUUGCUUGAGGAGGGGUUCGCGCCUGAUUAGCUAGUUGGUGAGGUAACGGCCCACCAAGGCUUCGAUCAGUAGCCGGCCUGAGAGGGCGAACGGCCACACUGGAACUGAGACACGGUCCAGACUCCUACGGGAGGCAGCAGUGGGGAAUUUUGCGCAAUGGGCGAAAGCCUGACGCAGCAACGCCGCGUGGAGGAUGGAGGCCUUCGGGUCGUAAACUCCUGUCAGUAGGGACGAAUGCCUCGCAAGAGGUUUGACUGUACCUGCUGAGGAAGCCACGGCUAACUCCGUGCCAGCAGCCGCGGUAAUACGGAGGUGGCAAGCGUUGUUCGGAAUUACUGGGCGUAAAGGGCGCGUAGGCGGCAUUGCAAGUCAGAUGUGAAAGCCCCGAGCUUAACUCGGGAAUUGCAUCUGAAACUGCUUUGCUUGAGUCCUGGAGGGGGUAGUGGAAUUCCCAGUGUAGCGGUGAAAUGCGUAGAUAUUGGGAGGAACACCUGCGGCGAAGGCGGCUACCUGGACAGUGACUGACGCUGAGGCGCGAAAGCUAGGGGAGCGAACGGGAUUAGAUACCCCGGUAGUCCUAGCUGUAAACGAUGGGCACUUGGUGUUGGGGGUAUUGAGUCCCUCGGUGCCGGAGUUAACACGUUAAGUGCCCCGCCUGGGGAGUACGGUCGCAAGACUGAAACUCAAAGGAAUUGACGGGGGCCCGCACAAGCGGUGGAGCAUGUGGUUUAAUUCGACGCAACGCGAAGAACCUUACCUAGCCUUGACAUGCAUCUCUAAGUCGGUGAAAGCCGGCGACUGUAGCAAUACAGAAUUUGCACAGGUGCUGCAUGGCUGUCGUCAGCUCGUGUCGUGAGAUGUUGGGUUAAGUCCCGCAACGAGCGCAACCCCUGUGAACUGUUGCCACCGGCCUUCGGGCCGAGCACUCUGUUCAGACUGCCCUGUGAAACGGGGAGGAAGGUGGGGAUGACGUCAAGUCAGCAUGGCCCUUACGGCUAGGGCUGCACACGUACUACAAUGCUCAGUACAGAACGAACCGAAACCGCGAGGUGGAGGAAAUCCCUAAAACUGAGCCCAAUUCGGAUUGGAGGCUGCAACUCGCCUCCAUGAAGCCGGAAUCGCUAGUAAUGGCGUAUCAGCUACGACGCCGUGAAUACGUUCCCGGGCCUUGUACACACCGCCCGUCACAUCAUGGAAGUCACUUGUACCCGAAGUGCAUGCGCCAACCGCAAGGAGGCAGUGCCCUAA
rnacentral:rRNA from 1 species